UACAGAGGGUGCUAGCGUUGUUCGGAGUUACUGGGCGUAAAGGGUGUGUAGGCGGUUGUUUAAGUUUGGUGUGAAAUCUCCCGGCUCAACUGGGAGGGUGCGCCGAAUACUGAAUGACUUGGAGUGCGGGAGAGGAGAGUGGAAUUCCUGGUGUAGCGGUGAAAUGCGUAGAUAUCAGGAGGAACACCGGUGGUGUAGACGGCUCUCUGGACCGUAACUGACGCUGAGACACGAAAGCGUGGGUAGCAAACAGG
rnacentral:rRNA from 1 species